rnacentral:lncRNA from 1 species
GAUCAUGCAUUCACGCCACUCACGGUGAACCGGCGGCCGGCCGAUCGGCGGAGGAUGGCGGCCGCGGCGGGGGACUCGUCGGAGCCGAAGGCGAGCAUCGGCGCGGGCAGCUGCUGGUCGCCACCAUCCACCUCGGUCUCGGAAUCGGUAGCAUCUCUCCGCACCUCUCCUUUCGCGCAUUUUUGCAUUUGAAUUCGGUUCCAUCCGCAUUGUUGGGGGGGGGGGGGGGGGGGGGCUUCCCGUCGGUGAUCGUGCUGAGGGAACUGUAGCCUGUAGGUCCGAUUGGCUCCGGGAGUCGUCGUCUUCCUUGAAGGGAGAUUCUACCGUGUGGCUUACUUGGAGUAGAAGAGUGUCUCCUUGAGUCCUUUUGUACCGAGAGGAUUCGUAGUCUACAGGGGAAUUAGGGCGAAGUGCUGUCGCUUAUGGCUGCUGAAUGCUGAGGCAGAGUUAGCGCGUGAGUGCGCAGGUGUACUGGGACAACUACCCCAGUUUGCGCGAUUGCUCUGAAAAAUAACGAUGUAGCUAUGCGAUUGGCUGCAUAGUGCAUAGCUCGGUCUAAAAGUGUGAAGUGUGAAAGAAGGGGAAAACCCCCAUGAACAAUACACUUGUUAAAUCAAUUUUCUUCUUUAGGAUUUCGUUCUUCUGUUUUUGCUUUAUCCUUUGAUUUAGAAUUUUAUGUUUGGGAGGUUACUGAAUUGAUAAAUCGUAGGUUUAUUAUGGAGUUUUUCUUCCUCAAGGAAAAGAAAAACUAAAAGAGGUUUGGUUUUCACGAGCUAGAGAAAUGCCCAGGGGUCUUCUGGCUAGCUCCACAAGGUGGUGGGCUAGACGACCUGGGUUUGAAGCCUCAUCCCUUCUAAUUAUUUGAUAUUAGGUACUUCCCUAAUAUUCACGUUUUUUUUUUCACAAGCCAGAGCUUGUACUCAGUAGUAUAUACGAAGAUAUAUGCUUGGACUCCGUGUUGAAUUAUUCCAUAUAUCUACUUUCACUUCUGAAUUCAUAUAUGCAUCCAAGCAGAUAUAGAAUGGAGUGAAUUCUAUACACACCAAAUAUAUUUGAAUUUGUAGUGAGUGAAUUCUAUUCAUACCAAAUAUAUUUAAUGUUAACUGAAAAUUUAAUUGUGUUUGAUGUAUGCAGACAUCACUUUAGAUGUAGAGUUCUUGUGCAGAGAAAUGCUACAAUUUGAUUUCACAGAAAACUCUGUCCCCGCUUUUCUAUUGGUUAUUGCUAUAAGAUUCCAUGUUUUGCAUUGUGCAUGCAGUUUUUCCAAUGUCCUUUUUGUACUUUUUGUUUGUCAAACUUCUAGUAGCUCUUGCCAUUUUUAAAUUUGAAAUGUGGUUUCAUUUUCUUUGGAAAGUUUGGGCAUAAAUUUCCAAGAAAAUAUUUAUCCUUUCCCAUCCUACUCUGAUGGUUGUUAGAUGGUUUCAGGUGAAUGAUGCAUAUAAAUACUAAACAAACAUAUGUCUUCUACGGCCAAAUUUCUGCAAAUGCCUUCUCUAAUUGAUCUCCUGGUUAAUCUUUAGUUACUAACCAUGAAUAUUGCAUACAGCUUCCAUAUUCUUGUCCUUUAAUUUGCAACUUUCCUGCAUUUGACAUCAUAGUAGCAGACCAAGUUUUGUUCUGAUUCCAUUACUUAAAUCAAAGACUUGGCCACGGCCAAGGUAGUAUUUCCAAUUUCUAAAACCUCUUUGUUAUGUUUAAUCUCAGUUCUACAUUCAUUAUUAUUGUGCAUAUUUUCAGAGUCAUAUUUUGUAGCCAUCUGCCUGAUUAUUGCAUGCAAAACACAUUAGUAUUUGUUGGAAGAUAUUUUGCAACCGUAAUUGACAUACUGGAAGAAGUCAUAACCAUUAUUGUUUCCAUCGCUGUAUAGGUUUUAUUUUCGCCCACCCAUUUGCCUUCCACUGUUUAGGGAAAAGAAGAGCCUUGAUCUCGCCAUGUUGCAUUUGCUUUCCUUCAUCCAGUGGUUAUCUGCAUGAAGUAACUUCGAUGCUUACAGGUGAUUAUGCGUGUGUUCCUUUUUCCUCUAUUAGUUGCCUUGGUUUUUGAUAUUAUCAGUUCUGUGAUAUCGUUUUCCUGCAACUUGGGGCUUAGGGCAGGUAGGAUAAGACUCAGAAAGCAAGUAUUGGCAGUGACUGAAAGGUGUCCUUUACUCUUCCAGAGUUACAUUUGUUCUUAAGAAAUGAACUUUCUAAUUGCUUGUGUCUUAUACUAAAAAGAUACUUGUCUAGUUUGCAUUUAGGUUUUUCGUGGUACAUCAUGUUGAAUUCCAACAAGUGCGUAUUAUAUUAUAUGCAGAACGAGCACUUCGUGAUUGUUCGUAUGGAAGCUAUGUUAACACAUCAACCUGCAAUUGCGUGCAACAGUGGUGGUCAUGGAAGUUGUAAAUGCAUUAAUGGGGUUUCUCUAUGAGGCCUCCUGGUUAAAUCCUUGAAAGAAUGUCUGGUAAAUGAUCAUAAUAUAACAAUUUUGAUGGGAGGAAAUAAGAACAGAGCAUUGUGGUGCAGGAACAAUUGCUAGCUCCUCAGCUGCUUUAUUCUUAACCUUUACCAUCAGAUGGUUUGAUAGCAUAUAAUUUGACUUAUCACAUACAGUAUGAAAGAAUUUUCCAGGCUAGACAUCAAUUUCCUGAAGUUCUAGACAUAGCUAGAGAGUCAGCAACAACAACAAUCAUUACAAUUCAGUCAGUUCAGCUAUUGUGAGUAAACCAAAUUGCAUGGUACUUAUGGGUCUGUCCAUCUUUCGUACUACUAGGUUGUGUCUAAUCCAGGAUUAGGUUGCUAUAUUUUGGGAUAGAGGGAGUUCGCAUUAAAUCUGGACUUCUAGAUUAUGAAGUUCCGGACGUAACACUUAUCAACUGGAAUGAUUAAAAUACCUAGAGAACUCACUUAUUAAUCUCUAUCUAUCUUCUGUUAUUCUGCCAUGCUGUUAGGACUUAGGAUGGACCAAUAUCAUCUGCUAUUCCUGCACCUGAGCUAGAAUGUCUUAGAAAUGAAUAUGAUACUAGCUUGAGUUUUUUUUAAAAAAACUGUUUGGUUUCCUUCGUGUCCUAUCUUUGUUAUUAUGGGCAUGAAUCCAUAACAUUUCUUGAGUGGCUAUUUCUAAGUGGAGUUCUCUUGCCGCCAAUCUUUUUCCAAUGGAAAGUUGACUAGCUGACAGUUUAUUGUUCUAUGGUAUACUAUUUUGGUAUUUAUACCAUGUUAUUUUAUCCAAAUCUUUUCUUGGAUGUUCCAAUGCCAAAUACUUCUUAUGGUUUUCUAAUUCUAUAUCUGGGACAUCCAGAAUACUCAUACCUUGUUGUACCUGUACGGUCUUAUUAUGGGUAGAUCCCUGCUAUGCUAUUUCACAAUUAAUUUGAUGUUUUGGCCUAUCACUUCAUAUUAUUGUUCGAGACAAAGGACAAUUUGCAAAGAAAUAGUUGGUGUACUAUUGAUAAAUUAAUGCAAUUUAUGUUUCCUCCAUGUAGGUUGCAUAAGAGCACAGUUUUCUGAUAAAAGAUUUUACAAAACUGCAAAAGUUGCAAGUCAGAGACUCGGAGUAUUACUGAAGUGAGUCCAACUCUUAUAGAACUUUUUUGUUGGUGGGGUUCAUCCUUCGAACUAUACCUUUUGCCACCUCUGGGAAUCAAUUAUUUCCCGGAAAUAUGGAUUUGAUUUCUUGGUUCCUGCAGCUUUGCUGAUCGUACCACAAUAGAUCUGCUGGCUUUUGCCCUUCAAGACCCAAGAGGGCUAGCUUGAUGGUACAUUUCUUUAAUCUUUGUUCUGAAGCAAUAGGUCAAUUGUGAAUAGUUUCUUUUCUAUGCUGCAAAAGGUGUACCAGACUUCUUUACCUUCUUUAACAAUGUUGUAGUUCUCCAAAAGGCCCAUAUUUCUAAACAUUUUCAAUCUUUUAGUCCAUCGGUACCCCAGUCCAGCGAUAGACCUGGCAUACCCUUACCUUAUUCUAUUUACCUGUGUUGGACUUGAGGAAAUAUAUUAGUGUUGCAAUCUUUUAGCCCUACUCCCAUGUUGUUUUAUUCUACUUUAAUCUAUGGUUAUCUUAAUGCAGGGAGACUAAUCAAGUCCAAGAUUCCUUUUUCACGGAUGGAUGGUCCCAGUUGAGUGGACCUUUUGGUGGGAAGCGGACAAACUAAAGCAGGUUCCCACUUGACACCUUAAUUUUCUUCAAAACAACUUUCUUCACAAGAUCUCUUGCCAAUUAAAUUGAGACCCAGAGGUAAAAUUACCACAUAAUCGUCACUCCGAAAAAAAUGUCACUAACAUCGAUAGUUAGUCAAAAAAAAACAUCGAUAGUUCAAUAUGGCUGACAUGCUAAUUCACAAUCUUUGUUUGCAACCCAUCAUUUUAAUUCAACUAUAUAUAUAUUUCUCUUUCCGAGGGAGUAAUAUGUGAAAGUAUUCCUUUUCUUCGAGGUAAAAAAAAAGGUACCUUAUCGUAGGCGCAAUCAAGGAUUGUUUGUUUAGGGCAUGUUUAAUUCGCGAAAAGAAAAUAUUUGGGUGUCACAUCAGAUGUUUGACCGGAUGUCGAAAGGGGUUUUCGGACAUGAAUGAAAAAACUAAUUUCAUAACUCGUCUGGAAACCGCGAGACGGAUCUUUUGAGCCUAAUUAAUCCGUCAUUAGCACAUGUAGGUUACUGUAGCACUUAUGGCUAAUCAUGGACUAAUUAGGCUCAAAAGAUUCAUCUCGCGAUUUCCAUGCAAACCGUGCAAUUAGUUUUUAUUUUAUCUAUAUUUAAUACUCCAUGCAUGUGUCUAAAAAUUUGAUGUGACGUUUUUGGGAAAAAAAUUAGGAACUAAACAAGGCCUUAUAUCGCUUGCUUGCUGAUGGAGUGAUGGUUGAUUGGUGAUUGGACCAAUCUAUCAUUUCUUCAUAUUGGCAAUUGAUUCAAGUCAUUCAUCGUUUUUGUUCUAACAAUUAAUAAUACAUCCAACCAUUCUUGGUAAUUUUGAUUUGGAAAGAAAAAUAUCUACCUCACUUUAUUAAGGAUUGCACUCCAUCUACUUCAGAUACUAAAUCAGGUAUUGAAGAACCACCCAAAUUACACAUGAGGCAGUAGAGGUGUUUUUAGGUAAGACCUUUAUACUUAUAUCCUUAGCUCUAAAAGCCAAGUCUGGAAAAUAAAAAACAACUAAACAAGCCCCCUAAAUUGAUUCAAAUUAAGUUUUAAAAUUUGCUGCAGCUCAAAUUAAGUUCUAAAAAAAGAAGUUUACUAUAGAUUGUUUGUACAGCUGGUUUUAAGUAUUUAAGGACAUUAACUUGAAAGUAGAAGUGUUCAGUAGACCUUAUAAAUUAGAAAUAGUUGAUGUCUUGAAAUUUCUAGGCUCAUGUUUCUUGUGGUCUAUUAGUGGUGUAAAAGCACUCAAUCCAUUUCAACCCUAUUGACCAAGUGCUGUCACGUGGGUCCAAAUAUCAGUUAAAGUUAAAACCUACUACUACUUGCCUUCCACUUCCCUAUGUCAAGCGAAACAAAAUUUUAAUUGUAGUUCAGUAUAUUAAACUCCGCUAGAUUCAAUAGAUUAGGCUUGCCUCAAAGACAACCACUGACUCUCUGGUUGCAAACAGUUUGUUUCCCAUGGCUUGGUUGGUUUGAGCAGUGUUGUAGUACCCUUUAAAAUUUUUCCUUGCAUGUGAUGCGAGAGAGCGGAUGGGAAGGUGAAAACGCAGGAACAGACCCUAUGACCCCUGCCCCUAUGCUUAGGUCGUGUUUAGUUGUUUGGUCAAUUUUUUUUAAGUAUACGGACACACAUUUAAAGUAUUAAACGUAGACUAAUAACAAAAUAAAUUAUAGAUUCCGCCUAUAAACUACGAGACGAAUUUAUUAAGCCUAAUUAAUUCGUCAUUAGCAAAUGUUUACUGUAGCAUCACAUUGUUAAAUCAUGGCGCAAUUAGUCUUAAAAGAUUCGUCUAGCAAUUUACAUUGCAAACUGUGCAAUUGAUUUUUUUUCAUACACAUUUAAUGCUCCAUGCAUGUGUCCAAACAUUUGAUGUAAUAUUUUUGGCCAAAUAUUUUUGGAAUCUAAACACACCCUUACUGGAUCCUUUGCGUUCUCUCGAACCAUAUAUAUCCAUGCUGUCUGUGCCGGAUACAUGCAUUGCGCAAGAACAACGUGCCAUAAAUCAUUCAUACUGUGCCAUCUUAGCUUAACUUAAUGCUUACUGUAGCUCAUUGUGAUGUGACUUUCAAAUCUGAUAUCUAAUCUUAAGAGCAAGUUUAAUAGUAUAGUCAAAUAUUAGCUCCAAAUCAUCUAUAAUCAAUUUAAUAGCCAAUCUAUAUAAUAGUUAUCUAUAAACAUAUACUACACUUUUAAUAUCUACAAAUUGUGUCUUACAGUCCGUGUUAUAGCUGUCUACAAAUUUAUAGCUCCCUGCUCUUCUCUCUUCUCCUUUAUCUCCUCGAAAUAUGUUUAUUGUUGGCUUAUAAUCUGUUAUUGUGCCUGCUCUAACAUUCUCGUGCUAUAGUAUUAUAGACACAUGUCUUGACUAAUUUUGUCUAAAUUAUAGCGGGCAAUUUGAUUACCGCCGUUUUUUAAGCUAUACUUUUAUCUUAUCAGUUAUGGCAUUGGCCAAACUCUCCACGAUAAUUAUUGCCUAUUGGAACCUGGAACAUUAGUAGCGUAGAUUGUACUCCUUUGGAGGAAUCCUAACUUAUGGUUAAACCUCAUGGAAAAUUCACUUUGUGUCCAUACGUGGUUGAAUAGUUCUUUUGUUUUACAAUUUCUAAUGACUAUAGAUUUGACACUUCAACUCUUGUGUUUUCCUAAUCCCGUUUUUAAAUUCAUGAGUCCCCUAACAUAUUGUUGUGUGUUCCACACAGCAGAACAAAGAAUCAACCUGAAUUACUGAACUCCACCGUAAUAGCUUAAGUGACUAUAAUUUUUCCUAUUUUCCUGCGCACUGUAUGCUGUACCAACACAUAUAGAAGUAUCUGUUUAAGCCAUUGACAACAAUACAUGAAGCAUCAUAGUCUAUGUUAAAGUUAGCCGUCCUUCUUUUGCCUGUUCAGAUGCUAACAAGCUGUUUCGUCAAAGAUUGGUUCCUACCUGUCUUCCCCGCAGGUGAAGUCGCUGUUUUUUUUCCAUGCAACUUUGCAAUCAUGCUUUUGUCUUUUGCCUGUUGAGAUUUUCAGAAUGGAACUUGGGGGUAAGUAUCAGGUUAGCAGCAGAAAACAACGGGGCCGCAUUUCGGCACACUGCAUCCAUCAAGGAACUGUUGAGUUUGACUUGCCAGGUACCCCUCUUCUUCCAGAAUCCAAUGCCCCUUGCCCUUGAACCCUUUAUUUUUAUUUUUGAAACUUAUUGAACCCUUUAUUAGACGUGCUUUCAUUUCCCGUCUUCUUUCAUGUGAAACACCCAGAGAAUAUCAUCAGGUCAUCAGGAGCAACUUUUUUUUUUAGGGAAGUCAUCAGGAGCACAUAAAUGUUUUAUCAAGAAAGCCAUUUUGCAUAGUAUAAAAAGUUCGAAAUUAACUGUUAACAUAUAUUGUAGUAAACGAAUGUUAGCAUUUGGUAGUAACUGUCAUUAAAAUUAAAUUAAUAGAAUUUUCACUGAUUUUUUUUCUGUUUUCUGGAUUUCCUUUUCUAGCAAAACUUAUCCUUGUGAAUUCUAGAUCUGUAGAUUUUUUUUUUGGCAUUUAUCUCAAAUUUAAUCUAUGUGAAAGGUUUUAUUUUAGAUUUUUGUUGCUGUUCAAAUGACUUAUUCUAAUGGAUUUUUACGAGAUGAACUUUUAUUAUAUUAGUAGUGAGCUAUAAACCAACUAUAAACUUAUGUGUAAGAGAAAAACAAAGAAAAUGCAUGAGUGUUGGCUCUUAUACAAGAGAAAGAGAAAAGCUUCACAUUAAAUUCAUAGUAAGAAAAAGAUUCAGACAAAAAAUAGAGCAAACUUUAUAGUUAAUUUAUUAUACAUAUUAGCUCUAACAUGGACUAAUAGCUAAUUGUUAGCUCUAUUAUUAAACUUGCUCCCAUGAAACACCAUAGAGGUUUCAAGAAUUUCUCUUCCUCGGUGCCUCUAAUAUUGACUGUUGCCCCAUUCAGUAGAAGAGCCUACGGAGUUAUUGCAGCUGCAGCUACAACUAGGCAACACCAUUCUAGACCCUCUUCAUUACUGCACAUGCAGGACUGCUCACUAACAUGUGGGACCGAUGGUCAGUGGACAAUGGGACACAUAUUAUUGUUGGCUUGUAAUUGUAGUAAAUGGGUAGCCGAAUAGGCCCUGUAUAGAAUGAUAGAAUAAUUUUUGGGAGUAGAUUACAUGCACGUGAAAAUUUAUUAAACUUCAGUAUAACUAUCGUUUUGUUAUUAUAUAUGGGUUUAGUUUAAUUUUGAUUUAAGUUUGAAUGCUUUUUCCACGUAAUUUUGUAUAUUUAUGAACUGUAAGUUUAUUUCAUGUUUAGGGUAUAAUAAUCUACUGCUCAACAUUUUAUGAAGAAAAAAAAAGGUUCUCUUUUAAAUGAGUAAGUAAUGGAGUAACGGAAACCAUUGAAUCCUCAUCUACUCCCUCCGUCCCAAAGAAAAACAAACCCUAGUUUCCAUGCCCAACAUUUGACCGUCCGUCUUAUUUGAAAAAAUUAUGAAAAAAAUUAAAAAAACAAGUCACGUAUAAAACAUUAAUCAUGUUUUAUCAUCUAACAACAAUGAAAAUAUGAAUUAUAAAAAAAUUUUAUAUAAGACGGACAAUCAAAGUUGGACACGGAAAACCAGGGUUUGCCUUUUUUUUUUGGGACGGAGGGAGUAGAUGAGAACUUUUAAAAAUUUCAAGCACCUGAAAUCUGAUACUCCCAUAAUUCUUUAUUUGCGCCGUGGGCCCUCUCAUUUAUUUUUUUAUAUAAUAUGUGGAAAGAAUAUUCUAUCCUUAUUUUUUUCGCUCACAGGUUUUCUCUUAAUUACCUUUUUUUUCUCUUUUUUUUCGAUGGUGCAUGAAAAUACUAGUACUAUCUUAUACUGUCGCUUUUCCUCUUUCUACGAGUGUCAGAUAUGGUGGAGUUCGAGUUCCCAAUGCUUCAGUUGGCCCGCCAAAGCCAUCCAAUUUGCCGAGACGGACACCCCGCGCGCGACGCCACGCCACCGCGCGCGAAUUUACGCGGUUGCCCCUCGGUGGAGUCCCCUUCGCCGUAAUUAGCCCCUACAAGGAGGGGCAGUCUCGGCGCGAAACGUUGACUCCCCUGCACUCCCCCAAUCCCCUCCACGUCAACACGGCCCUGCCACGUCACUGGCGAACUCUUCCCCUGCUCCCCGGCGUGAGCGGAGCAGGUGCGGACAAAACGGCCCCUCCACCAUACUACCAGCACCACCUGACAAUUUGCGUUCUCACCCCAAGUUAAACUCGUAAUUACGUGUAGCCCCCUCCUAGGCUCACCAUUUAUAGGAGAUUUUUUUUUUCAAUCCGGUACUUGAGAAGGGUUGGAAUUAGGAUUUGGGGUUCUUCCUUGGUGCCUGGUAAUGGCUAAAAUAAUCCGGCCUAGCGCACGGUGCACUCACGAACGAACGACUGCCUCGGCCAGUGGGGGCGUACUGGUAAGAAAAGCCCACUCGUUACUCGUUAGUGCUGCCUCCGCAUCAUCUGCUUGCUACGCUUUCCUUUCUCCUAAGAGCAUUCCCAAUAGAAACCACGGUAGCAGUGGUCUUAUAUGAACCAUAUAGCCUAAGAGCAUG